GACACUUUGGCCGAGUGGUUAAGGCGAUCGCUUGCUAAGCGGUUGGGUUUUCCCGCGUGUGUUCGAACCACACAGGUGUCG
rnacentral:tRNA from 1 species